rnacentral:rRNA from 1 species
GAUGAACGCUGGCGGCGUGCCUAAUACAUGCAAGUCGAGCGAACGGACGAGAAGCUUGCUUCUCUGAUGUUAGCGGCGGACGGGUGAGUAACACGUGGAUAACCUACCUAUAAGACUGGGAUAACUUCGGGAAACCGGAGCUAAUACCGGAUAAUAUUUUGAACCGCAUGGUUCAAAAGUGAAAGACGGUCUUGCUGUCACUUAUAGAUGGAUCCGCGCUGCAUUAGCUAGUUGGUAAGGUAAUGGCUUACCAAGGCAACGAUGCAUAGCCGACCUGAGAGGGUGAUCGGCCACACUGGAACUGAGACACGGUCCAGACUCCUACGGGAGGCAGCAGUAGGGAAUCUUCCGCAAUGGGCGAAAGCCUGACGGAGCAACGCCGCGUGAGUGAUGAAGGUCUUCGGAUCGUAAAACUCUGUUAUUAGGGAAGAACAUAUGUGUAAGUAACUGUGCACAUCUUGACGGUACCUAAUCAGAAGGCCACGGCUAACUACGUG